CUAGAUGGGCCGAAUGGUUCUUAUCUGCCUUCACAUUCUAUGUUUGAUUGGACAUAUAGAUUGGGAAGUUGGCCGGGUAAAUAGGAAAGAAACUAAUUAUAAGCCUCAUAAUAUUAGUAUUAUUUAUUGCUGUUUAUAUAUUGUGAACCUCUGAAAUGCAUUGUGAAUGUGACUGUAACGGAUCGCCUGGCACCUCGACUGGGUACCUCCGUUGAAGGAUGCUCCUAGCGCUUCCUGAGGACUCCAAGCACUCUGGCAGACACCACAAUCACCGAACCGGAGAACCAAAUAA